UGGCUGCAAAGGGAAUCAUAAAAAACGAGAUUAAAGAGUUUUUCGCUUGAAAAUAUUCUCCGUUAAACGAAAAACACGAGCCCAUUUUCCUACUUUCGUACCGCCACGACGAAACAACUUUUCGUUGUGUGAAUCCUGACUAUUAUUGUUAUCAUUGUUUCACGUAGGCGAAGAGACGUCACACAUAAUUUCAAAAGUUCUUCACCGAAAUACUGGCUCCGUUGUUAAUUAAGUUUGUGGGGAAACGCACGUCUAAUUAAGCUGCAUCGUGCAAACUAAUUAGUCGUUCCAUACCGACCCUAUUUUUGUUUCAUCAUGUUUUCAUAUGCUAAUUAUUUCGGUCCAUGCCCAACUGUAUUGCCAAUAAUUUGACAAAAUCAAAUAAAUAUGAACAGAUCAA